rnacentral:rRNA from 1 species
CCUACGGGAGGCAGCAGUGAGGAAUAUUGGUCAAUGGACGAGAGUCUGAACCAGCCAAGUAGCGUGCAGGAUGACUGCCCUAUGGGUUGUAAACUUCUUUUAUAUGGGAAUAAAAUGUUCCACGUGUGGGAUUUUGUAUGUACCAUAUGAGUAAGGAUCGGCUAACUCCGUGCCAGCAGCCGCGGUAAUAUGGAGGAUCCGAGCGUUAUCCGGAUUUAUUGGGUUUAAAGGGAGCGUAGGUGGACUGUUAAGUCAGUUGUGAAAGUUUGCGGCUCAACCGUAAAAUUGCAGUUGAAACUGGAAGUCUUGAGUACAGUAGAGGUGGGCGGAAUUCGUGGUGUAGCGGUGAAAUGCUUAGAUAUCACGAAGAACUCCGAUUGCGAAGGCAGCUCACUGGACUGCAACUGACACUGAGGCUCGAAAGUGUGGGUAUCAAACAGGAUUAGAUACCCCAGUAGUC